rnacentral:rRNA from 1 species
GCGUGGGUGACGAAGGUCUUCGGAUUGUAAAACCCUUUCGGCGGGGACGAUGAUGACGGUACCCGCAGAAGAAGCCCCGGCUAACUUCGUGCCAGCAGCCGCGGUAAUACGAAGGGGGCUAGCGUUGUUCGGAAUUACUGGGCGUAAAGGGCGUGUAGGCGGCCCGUUAAGACAGGUGUGAAAUUCCUGGGCUCAACCCAGGACGUGCGCCUGUGACUGGCGGGCUUGAGUCCGGGAGAGGAUGGUGGAACUCCCAGUGUAGAGGUGAAAUUCGU